UACGUAGGUGACAAGCGUUGUCCGGAAUUAUUGGGCGUAAAGGGAGCGCAGGCGGUUGGAAUAGUCUGAUGUGAAAGCCCACGGCUUAACCGUGGAAGGUCAUUGGAAACUGUCCAACUUGAAUGCAGAAGAGGUAAGUGGAAUUCCAAGUGUAGCGGUGAAAUGCGUAGAUAUUUGGAGGAACACCAGUGGCGAAGGCGACUUACUGGUCUGUAACUGACGCUGAUGUGCGAAAGCGUGGGGAUCAAACAGG
rnacentral:rRNA from 1 species